GAUGAACGCUGGCGGCGUGCCUAAUACAUGCAAGUCGAGCGAACGGACGAGAAGCUUGCUUCUCUGAUGUUAGCGGCGGACGGGUGAGUAACACGUGGAUAACCUACCUAUAAGACUGGGAUAACUUCGGGAAACCGUAGCUAAUACCGGAUAAUAUUUUGAACCGCAUGGUUCAAAAGUGAAAGACGGUCUUGCUGUCACUUAUAGAUGGAUCCGCGCUGCAUUAGCUAGUUGGUAAGGUAACGGCUUACCAAGGCAACGAUGCAUAGCCGACCUGAGAGGGUGAUCGGCCACACUGGAACUGAGACACGGUCCAGACUCCUACGGGAGGCAGCAGUAGGGAAUCUUCCGCAAUGGGCGAAAGCCUGACGGAGCAACGCCGCGUGAGUGAUGAAGGUCUUCGGAUCGUAAAACUCUGUUAUUAGGGAAGAACAUAUGUGUAAGUAACUGUGCACAUCUUGACGGUACCUAAUCAGAAAGCCACGGCUAACUACG
rnacentral:rRNA from 1 species